UACGAACGCUGGCGGCAGGCCUAACACAUGCAAGUCGAACGAAGGCUUCGGCCUUAGUGGCGCACGGGUGAGUAACGCGUGGGGACCUGCCUCUCGGUUCGGGAUAACGUCUGGAAACGGACGCUAACACCGGAUACGCCCUUCGGGGGAAAGUUUACGCCGAGAGAUGGACCCGCGUCCGAUUAGGUAGUUGGUGGGGUAACGGCCUACCAAGCCUGCGAUCGGUAGCUGGUCUGAGAGGAUGGUCAGCCACACUGGGACUGGGACACGGCCCAGACUCCUACGGGAGGCAGCAGUGGGGAAUAUUGGACAAUGGGCGCAAGCCUGAUCCAGCAAUGCCGCGUGAGUGAUGAAGGCCUUAGGGUUGUAAAGCUCUUUCGCACGCGACGAUGAUGACGGUAGCGUGAGAAGAAGCCCCGGCUAACUUCGUGCCAGCCGCCGCGGUAAAAC
rnacentral:rRNA from 1 species